rfam:Schistosoma mattheei strain Denwood, Zambia genome assembly, scaffold: SMTD_scaffold0006745
AUUCAUCUGAUGAGUCUCAAAUAGGACGAGACUCACUUCCUGAAU